UACGGAGGGAGCUAGCGUUGUUCGGAAUUACUGGGCGUAAAGCGCACGUAGGCGGCUUUGUAAGUUAGAGGUGAAAGCCCGGGGCUCAACUCCGGAACUGCCUUUAAGACUGCAUCGCUUGAAUCCAGGAGAGGUGAGUGGAAUUCCGAGUGUAGAGGUGAAAUUCGUAGAUAUUCGGAAGAACACCAGUGGCGAAGGCGGCCCACUGGCUCGAUACUGACGCUGAGGUGCGAAAGCGUGGGGAGCAAACAGG
rnacentral:rRNA from 1 species